GACGAACGCUGGCGGCGUGCUUAACACAUGCAAGUCGAACGGAACUCAUUGGAUCAAGGCUUCGGUCAAGUGAAUUUGAGUUUAGUGGCGGACGGGUGAGUAACGCGUGAGGAACCUGCCUUUCAGAGGGGGACAACAGUUGGAAACGACUGCUAAUACCGCAUAACGCGUAGAGGUCGCAUGGCCUCGCGUCUGAUUAGCUAGUUGGUGGGGUAACGGCCCACCAAGGCGACGAUCAGUAGCCGGACUGAGAGGUUGACCGGCCACAUUGGGACUGAGAUACGGCCCAGACUCCUACGGGAGGCAGCAGUGGGGAAUAUUGGGCAAUGGGCGCAAGCCUGACCCAGCAACGCCGCGUGAAGGAAGAAGGCUUCGGGUUGUAAACUUCUUUUGUCAGGGACGAAGUAAUGACGGUACCUGACGAAUAAGCCACGGCUAACUACGUG
rnacentral:rRNA from 1 species